AGUACCAACCACUUAACUUUGCAAAUUGUCAUGAAGCGACUCCACAUUUUUAUUUAACUAGGCAAGUCAGUUAAGAACAACAUUUACAAUGACUGCCUACCAAAAGGCCACCUGCGGGUAUUAAAAAUAGCAUGACAUGGAAGCAUCACAAAACAUGGUACAAAUAUUAUUGGGCACAGACAACAGCACAAAGGGCAAGGUGGAGACAAUGCAUCACAUGAAGCAGCCACAACUGUCAGUAAGAGUGCACAUAAUUGAGUCUUAAUGUAGAGAUGGUGAUAAAACUGUCCAGUUAAUUUUUUUUUUGUAGCUUGUUCUAGCUGCAGUGAAAUGAAGAGUGACCAAGGGAUGCGUGUGCUUUGGGGUCCUUUAACAGGAUGUGACUGGCAGAACGGGUGUUGUAUGUGGAGGAUGAGGGCUGAGUGAGGCCUAAGAGGGUUUUUAUAAAUAAGCAUCACCAGUGGGUCUUGCGACAGGUAUACAGAGAACCAGUUUACAGAGGAGUGCAGUGAUGUGUCCUAUAAGGAGCAUUGGUGGAAAAUCUGAUGGCCGAAUGGUAAAGAACACCUAAAGAACCAAACACUCACUCAUCAAUUAGUUUACACAUAUCAAGCCAAGUGAGGUUGGAGUCUGUCAGGACAACACAAAUCUUUGAACUUCUGUCUUGAUUUAGAAUACUCAAGUGUUGUUUGCUUCUCCAAUUACAGGCUAAACGAUGCAUUGAAUUGCAAGGGAAGAAACAAGCCAGGUACGCAGCCUCAUUGUGCCAUCAACUCAGCAUGGAUAACCUAGAGGGGGACCUGUUCAGUGUGCUAUUCCCUCAAUGCUGAUCCUCGGGGCCUGCCCUGCUCCCACACCUUCUGUAAGUCCUGCAUGGACAACGUACUCCAAGUCUCUGCCAUCUACUCCAUCUGGCGUCUGCUGCGGCUCCCACUCAAGUUCCCUAACUGCCAGUGUGGUAGAGCUACCACCAACGGGUGUUGACGCAUUGCCCAAAAAUGCCUCUCCACGCCAUCAUUGAGAAGGAAACCAUUUGUUUAAUACGUUUUUGAGCUUAUGUCCCGAUGGGACAAUGACCUAUCUUUACAGUGUACAGUAUAAUGAAGUGGUAUAUCAUUUAUUUUAUUCCCAUCCUUAUCUAUCAGUUCCAGAAGGACAGCCACCCAAGGCCCCCUCCUGCCCUGCGCACCACCGACAGCCCCUCAACGUCUGUGUCCAGGACCGCCAGCUCAUCCGUGGCGUCUGCCUAACAGUGGGCCAGCACCAGGGAAACCCCAUCGAUGACCUGCAGGCAGCCUUUAUCAGGGAGAGGCAGGCGCCCGCUCACCUGCUGGCGAGGCGCUCAGACCACCGCCGGGCAGAGGUGAUUUACCAGUAAUAAUGGAUUUAAUGCCUUUGACCAGGGGCUGGAGCUGGUGCUUGCCAGGAAGAAAGGCUUUCAUGGGGGCCUUGGACACCGCAAGCGCGGAGGUGUCUCUGGCCUACGAUCCACUCAUUAAGGAGCUGCAGUCUUCUGGAUAGUUUACCUGAAGGUGUGUGAGCUGGGGGAGCAGCAAAGGCCAGCUGUGAGGGCCUAGUGAGGCAGGGCCGGCAGGCUGUGGAACAGUACUUCCAUGGUCUGGAGCUGGUGCUUGCCAGGAAUAGUCUUUCAUGGAGGCCCUGGACAACGCAAGCGUGGUGGUGUUUCUGGCCUACGAUCCACUCAUCCAAAGGCUGGAGCUGGUGGAGCAGCUGGACUUGUUGUCUCUGGGCUCGGCCGUGGAGGACGAAGACUCUCCCCUGGUCUUACUGGAGAAGUUCUACCUGUUCUGGGAGGUGGAGGCGCUGGUAAAUCCACCACUGCCCAUAGUCCUAUCCCUCUCAAAUCAUCCUUGUGCUGCUGAGUACCAUCGUAGGGCUGGUGGAAGAGCCGGUGCCUUGGUUCUUCUGCUGUGCCAUGCCCACCAUUCUGCUGAUGGUUCGUAGGACAGAGGCAGGGAGUCACCCUGGAGGCUUGGCCCAUGAUCUGUUGCUGGCCGUGUGGGUGAAUCCUGUUGGGGGAGCAUCUCUGGGCUUCUCCCUGCUGUCCAAGCUCAGUCAGCUGGUACACGGCCUAAGUAGCGAACUGACCGCCUCACUAUGAGAGACCGCAGGCUUCCUGUACACACAGACAGUGGAGGUGCAGCUCUUUCUUCUCCACACUGAGGGAGAACACCUACCAUCCUUCAAGCUCAUGACAAAGACACCUGGGUCUUCACUUCAGGAAGGUGAUGUAAGGUUACACUCCUUUGGUUUGGAAUUAAUGCUAACUGUGCCUAGUGAUUGGAGCUUUCCUGAUGCAGCAGGAUACAGUUGACAGAACAUACAGGCUUUACUUCUGGAACUAACCCUGACCCCAGCUAAAGCUCGUCACAGGAAGAUACUGCCUCAUGUACCACAAAGUAAAAACCAAACUUUUCAAAAGUCCCAAAAUGCAUUCAGCAGAUUGGAACCUGUUAUAUUUAACCAUAAACCUUAAGGUACAGCUUUUUCAAAGACAUUCUAUAACUCUACAUGUAGUAUACUGUAAUAAAUAAUACUACAGGGCUGCUAUUUAACCUUCACCAGAAAAGCCUUCUGUUAAAUCAAGUCAACUACAA